AGAGUUUGAUCCUGGCUCAGAUUGAACGCUGGCGGCAUGCCUUACACAUGCAAGUCGAACGGCAGCACGGGUGCUUGCACCUGGUGGCGAGUGGCGAACGGGUGAGUAAAGUAUCGGAACGUACCUUUCAGUGGGGGAUAACGUAGCGAAAGUUACGCUAAUACCGCAUAUUCUGUGAGCAGGAAAGCAGGGGAUCUUCGGACCUUGCGCUGAUUGAGCGGCCGAUAUCAGAUUAGCUAGUUGGUGAGGUAAAGGCUCACCAAGGCGACGAUCUGUAGCGGGUCUGAGAGGAUGAUCCGCCACACUGGGACUGAGACACGGCCCAGACUCCUACGGGAGGCAGCAGUGGGGAAUUUUGGACAAUGGGGGCAACCCUGAUCCAGCCAUGCCGCGUGAGUGAAGAAGGCCUUCGGGUUGUAAAGCUCUUUCGGCCGGGAAGAAAUCGUGUGGGUUAAUACCCUGCAUGGAUGACGGUACCGGAAUAAGAAGCACCGGCUAACUACGUGCCAGCAGCCGCGGUAAUACGUAGGGUGCGAGCGUUAAUCGGAAUUACUGGGCGUAAAGCGUGCGCAGGCGGUUUUGUAAGACAGGCGUGAAAUCCCCGGGCUUAACCUGGGAACUGCGCUUGUGACUGCAAGGCUAGAGUACGGCAGAGGGGGGUGGAAUCCCACGUGUAGCAGUGAAAUGCGUAGAGAUGUGGAGGAACACCGAUGGCGAAGGCAGCCCCCUGGGCCGAUACUGACGCUCAUGCACGAAAGCGUGGGUAGCAAACAGGAUUAGAUACCCUGGUAGUCCACGCCCUAAACGAUGUCAACUAGGUGUUGGGUGGGUAAAACCAUUUAGUACCGUAGCUAACGCGUGAAGUUGACCGCCUGGGGAGUACGGCCGCAAGGUUAAAACUCAAAGGAAUUGACGG
rnacentral:rRNA from 1 species